rnacentral:sRNA from 1 species
CCGCAAUCUGAUUGCUGGCGAUAACCAAAAUCAUAAACAAAUUCCUCUUUGACGGGCCGAUAACAUUAUCGGCUCUCUUUUU